rnacentral:rRNA from 1 species
GACGGAGGAUGCAAGUGUUAUCCGGAAUCACUGGGCGUAAAGCGUCUGUAGGUUGUUUAAAAAGUCUGCAGUUAAAGGUUGAAGCUUAACUUCAAAAAUGCCGUAGAAACUUUUAAACUAGAGGAUGGUAGGGGUAGAGGGAAUUUCCAGUGGAGCGGUGAAAUGUGUAGAUAUUGGAAAGACCACUGAUGGCGAAGGCACUCUACUGGGCCAUGACUGACACUGAGAGACGAAAGCUAGGGGAGCAAAUGGG